rnacentral:rRNA from 1 species
UACGGAGGGUGCAAGCGUUAUCCGGAUUCACUGGGUUUAAAGGGUGCGUAGGUGGGCAGGUAAGUCAGUGGUGAAAUCUCCGAGCUUAACUCGGAAACUGCCGUUGAUACUAUUUGUCUUGAGUAUUGUGGAGGUAAGCGGAAUAUAUCAUGUAGCGGUGAAAUGCUUAGAUAUGACAUAGAACACCAAUUGCGAAGGCAGCUUACUACACAACGAUUGACGCUGAGGCACGAAAGCGUGGGGAUCAAACAGG